rnacentral:rRNA from 1 species
AUUGAACGCUGGCGGCAGGCCUAACACAUGCAAGUCGAACGCGUGGCGGACGGGUGAGUAAUGUCUGGGAAACUGCCUGAUGGAGGGGGAUAACUACUGGAAACGGUAGCUAAUACCGCAUACCAUCGGAUGUGCCCAGAUGGGAUGAGCUAGUAGGUGGGGUAAAGGCUCACCUAGGCGACGAUCCCUAGCUGGUCUGCAAGGAUGACCAGCCACACUGGAACUGAGACACGGUCCAGACGCCUACGGGAGGCAGGAGUGGGGAAUAUUGCACAAUGGGAGCAAGCCUGAUGCAGCCAUGCCGCGUGUAUGAAGAAGGCCUUCGGGUUGUAAAGUACUUUCAGCGGGGAGGCGUUAACCGCAGAAGAAGCACCGGCUAACUCCGUGCCAGCAGCCGCGGUAAUUC